GCCAGGUGCAGUGGCGCACGCCUGUAAUCCCAGAGACUUGGGAGGCCGAGGCAGGAAGAUUGCGAGUUCAAAGCCAGCCUCAGCAACUUCGUGAGACCCUGUCUCUA
rnacentral:sRNA from 1 species